AUUAUGUAAACUUCAACAUUUCAAUGCAGAACAUUCAGUCAACAAACAUUCGAAUGCCGUAAGCAAAUAUAAGUUACCAUUGAACAUGGGAAACAGAUAGUUUAAGUGAUAUUAAUCGGCUUCAUAAUGGGCAGAUGGACGUUAUCCGAACCUUAUGCUGUAUCACCAACAUUUCAAUAUGGUAAAUUAGUUCACAAAUUGUUAAGAAGAUAUCGGCACCAGCUGUUAAAGGGCUACCAAACUACAUCGAGGGAAAUAUGUAUUGCAAAACUACAGUCUAUCGGUCAGGUUACACAUGGCGCAUUCAAUAACUACGCAGUGUCAUUCACCUGAUCACCGAGUAAACCUUCUCAACAUUGCCAUCGACAAGAUACCAGUAACCUUUAUGCCUACCUAACAGUUGACGAACAUUAUAAGCGUUAUAUUUCAUCCAUCAGUUGAAAUUGGUUGACUGUCAGAGAAACACUGAUUGACGGAUUUGAAGGAAGUGCCAACAUUAAACAAUCAGAAAAUAUAAACACAGUGAAAUUUGCAGCAAUGGGUUGCAAAAACUCUAAAGCAGUGAGUCCGGAUGCAGUAAGGAAGAAAAGAAUGAAAGCUAAAUUCAGUGAUGAAGAUUUCAACGACCCAAUGUUCUUCGUGGGUCAGGUAGUACCCGAUGAGUACCAAGGCUCGGACGUAAAGCUACUGAAUAAGUUCUCGGACGCCUCGCGGAGUUCAUUACGCUCCGACGCUGGAGAAUCCGACGCAAGUUGGUUUAGCGAUAACAGUUCUAUCAUGAAUAUUGAAUACUGCGACUAUGUAUAUCCUUUCGAGAAUAUUGUGUUUGAAGGCGGUGGAAAUAAAGGCAUUGCUUAUGCUGGUGCCAUUAAGGUUAGUAAGC
rnacentral:lncRNA from 1 species